CAGCCCCACGGUAAUACAGAGGGUGCGAGCGUUAAUCGGAUUUACUGGGCGUAAAGCGUGCGUAGGCGGCUUCUUAAGUCGGAUGUGAAAUCCCUGAGCUUAACUUAGGAAUUGCAUUCGAUACUGGGAAGCUAGAGUAUGGGAGAGGAUGGUAGAAUUCCAGGUGUAGCGGUGAAAUGCGUAGAGAUCUGGAGGAAUACCGAUGGCGAAGGCAGCCAUCUGGCCUAAUACUGACGCUGAGGUACGAAAGCAUGGGGAGCAAACAGGAUUAGAUACCCCGGUAGUCCCUGUCUCUUAUACA
rnacentral:rRNA from 1 species